AUUGAAAGCAUGGACACAAUGUGAUGAAGAAAGUGAAUGAUGAAGAGGAAUGUAAAAAUCAAUAUUGUACUAAGGGGUUUGGUUUGAGUUAGAUAGGAGUAUGGGAAAUGACUAUUCCAAAACUCAAGGUUUCAAAAACCAUGAAAGUGGUUGAACCAAUCAAGGACUCCUCAUCAAGAUAUUUUAAGGUUUUUCUAUGGUGUUUCAUCAUACAGGACCUACUUGGUUUGUUUUUUUGCUUCAUUUUAGGUACUUAAAGUUUCAACAAAUUGCUGUUUUGGUUAGAAGAUGAGAAGGUAUUUUUUUAUAUUUUGGUGAACUUUGUUUAAUGUUGUUCUCCCGAAGAGUUGGUGGUAAUUUGAUAUCAGUUGGUUUUGGUGAGAAUCAUGCAUCUGCAAUAUUCUUUGAUAUGAUUGAUAGCUGGUUGUGCACACCAUGCAUUUGAUUGUUUGCACAGAAAUGUCAAAAUGUAUACACAGUCUUAAUGUCAGCUAGGUUACAAGGUCAGGGGUGAGCUAUAGUUGUAUGAAUCCAACAGAACAAAAACAGUGUAUUAACAUCAAAUCUCUGGCUCCAUGUGUAGGGCUUCUACUUCUGGCUAUAUAGUUAUAGAUUCCAUACAAUCAUUCAUCCAGAUCAUAGACCUUGUCAGUGUUUGUUCCAAUGUUACCAUGAUUUGUUGGUAACUCCAGGAGUAGAUGAGGAAAAUUAAAAGAUGAUGGAUGAGCUUUUUUUUAGCAAUAAUGAGGACCACUUGUGUGUGCUGCUGAUCACAAAAUAGCUAAAUACUAUGUAAUUGAUGCAUUAUGGCUAUGUUGUUGUUAAUCAUGAAACUGCCAAAAUUAUGCAGAACAUAGUUAUCUCUGCCAGCUAGUGGAUGGGCCAGUUGAUAUACAUGUAUAACUUAUGCUUUUCGUAGCAUCUAAUGUUGAUUACUAUUUUUCCAAAAGCUACUUUCCUUGACCCUCCAUGUCUUGUAGCAUUGGUUGAUCUAAUAAUAAUGUUACUUCAUACAUAUCCCUAUACUUUUCCUGUUAACAGAUUUCAAUUAAUAUUAUAAGAGUAGUUGACAUCUGUGUGGUUCUUAUCUAUAUCUGCUGUAGGCUUUUUAGUUUGAUUUGAGGGGUAUCAAUGUCAAGAAUAAUUUCAUGGUAAUUUUUUUACCCAUCUACAUUUGGUUGUGCGUUUCAUUGUUCCACUCUUAAUUUUUAAAAAAAUUGGUGAAUGGAUUUUCUCUUUUUGUAAAACUAAAGAAAAAAGAAUAAGAAAAAGCUGAAAGAAAACACCUUAAAGCUCAACAACGUAGAGAACAUGGUAUCUAAGGUUGAUUCCACGUUUGUUACAUCGCUUUCGGUCACAGAAACAAUAAUAAAUGUCGAUUUUAAAGUUUGAAAUUUAAUCUCUCUCAACUACUGGUCUUUCCAAGGAAAUUCAACCCAUCUAGAACUUUUCUUCAAUGUCAGUUUAAUGUUGAAUAAUUGAAUCAACCAACCCACACAACAUAGCAUUAUCUGAUAGAGAAAAGUGAACCAAUACCAUUUCUGCAUAGUCAAAUUAAACAUUUCAUGUUUCAUUUCUUUAUAAUUUCAAGGGGGGGCAUAAUGUUAGAAGAAAAAUAAAGAACCCCACCAUAAGAUGAUGUCCAACUAUAGUGACAAAUAAGAACAUAGAUAGCCAAUUUUGUGGAUUAGUUUCGGUUAAUAGUGUGUAAGGUGGGGCACUCAACCUUUGUAAUCUUAUAAAAAAACCUCAGCAACACUGAACAGUGUCAGUGUCCGAAAAGGUAACCAUAAAACGUAACAUAAUAGGAGCUGCAGAGUAAUUCUACUCCAUCUUUAUGUCAUACAACUUCUGCUUUGGCAUUUUGCAGUAGCAUAAAUUAGAUUUCCCAUCAACCAAACAAAACCAGUCAAAGGGUAAUGAAUAGGCCUAAACCAUUACAAAGUGAUAACAGGAUAAUCAUCAUCUCCCCUUAGAACAUGAUGAGUCAUGAUGCAUUUUGUAAAUUGAGAAUUAUCUUUCUUAGUUGAUAUGAGAAUAGUUUAACUUAACUAAGUACUACUAGUGUUUAAUUUGAGAUACUGGAAGAGAAAAUUACGACCUGAAGGGAAAAGAAAAGAUGAUGGCAAUUUCAUGAUGGCAAACAUGGUAAAGGGUAAAGGCAGUGCAAAGAGACAAGCAAAACAGAUGCACUAGCACUAUGUCACACAAACACACCACACUGGUUUUGUACAAAUAUGUAUAAAGUAAUAACUUAAAAGCAGUGAAAGGCUUUUCAUUUUCUAACACCCUUUAUUUGUUUUUUCUCUCUGCUCAUCUCAAAAUGUCAUUUACUGUAUUGGGAUUAUGCCACAGGCUUCUGGGAUUCCUCCACUGGAGCAGCAGACCAUGAAAUGGAAAAGCAUUAUAUGCAGAAUCUCUAGAUCCUAGUGAUCCUAAUUCCUGAGACAAAUUUAGUUUUUUUUUUGUUCUGUACUUCAAUUUUAUUUUUUUCCCUGGAUGUUUCUGAUUCCUGUGAUACAUAAUAUAUAUACUUUUCCUAAAGCAGUGAUGCAAGCUGUUCUCUGGUGAAUAAGUUAAUGAAUCUUAUGCUAUUUUCCUGA
rnacentral:lncRNA from 1 species